rnacentral:rRNA from 1 species
CACGUAGGGUGCGAGCGUUGUCCGGAAUUAUUGGGCGUAAAGAGCUCGUAGGCGGUGUGUCGCGUCGGCCGUGAAAACCUGCAGCUUAACUGUGGGCUUGCGGUCGAUACGGGCAUCACUGGAGUUCGGCAGGGGAGACUGGAAUUCCUGGUGUAGCGGUGAAAUGCGCAGAUAUCAGGAGGAACACCGGUGGCGAAGGCGGGUCUCCGGGCCGAUACUGACG